rnacentral:lncRNA from 1 species
CUGCAUUCCUCGGGCGACACUGUCCUGUUUGUCCCAGGCCUCCCAGCCUGGCUCUGACAUCUCCAUCCAGGUCUGCAGGGAGAGGAGUGCGGGGCAGCUUGUCAUGCUCGGCAAGGGAUUAGACUUGGGAACAAAGUGGUGAAUAUGAAUGCAACCGACGGCUCUGCUGACACAGCAGAUAAUGGCUUGAAGGGUGAAAACUCCAGACCAGGUCUGCGACCAGCCUUUCACAGCAGAGAGAUGGCUCUGAAGCUUGGGAGCAGCCAGGUUGUCAGCUGUCUGACGCGGCCGAUGGAUGGGAGGCGGAGGGCAAACUUCGACAGACUUCUCCCCUCCUUACUUUCCCUCAUUCUUUUUUUCUCUCCCAACAGGAGGUUGGAUGUGCUUGAGAUUUCUGCAAAAGAAGAGGGGGGAUGGGCAGCUUACAUGUGGGGGCUCUCCCGUCAUGUCUCAGUCCUGCCCUGCACAGCGGUGUCUCCUUCGGGCUUUUCCUCACUCAGGAAGAUGUUUGUUGAGUGGCUUCUACUGUCACUACUAAAAGCGGAAGGUGCCGCGGGCACCACCCUCUGAGGUGAACUGUCA